GACAGAGGGGGCAAGCGUUGCUCGGAAUUACUGGGCGUAAAGGGCGCGUAGGCGGGCUGGCAAGUCGGUCGUGAAAUCCUUCGGCUCAACCGAAGAACGUCGAUCGAUACUGCUGUUCUUGAGGGUUGCAGAGGAGACUGGAAUUCCCGGUGUAGCGGUGAAAUGUGUAGAGAUCGGAAGGAACACCAGUGGCGAAAGCGGCAUCCUGGACCGGUAUUGACACUGAGGCGCGAAAGCCAGGGGAGCAAACGGG
rnacentral:rRNA from 1 species